AUUGAACGCUGGCGGCAGGCCUAACACGUGCAAGUCGAACGGUAACAGGAAGACGCUUGCUUCUUUGCUGACGAGUGGCGGACGGGUGAGUAAUGUCUGGGAAACUGCCUGAUGGAGGGGGAUAACUACUGGAAACGGUAGCUAAUACCGCAUAACGUCGCAAGACCAAAGAGGGGGACCUUCGGGCCUCUUGCCAUCGGAUGUGCCCAGAUGGGAUUAGCUAGUAGGUGGGGUAACGGCUCACCUAGGCGACGAUCCCUAGCUGGUCUGAGAGGAUGACCAGCCACACUGGAACUGAGACACGGUCCAGACUCCUACGGGAGGCAGUAGUGGGGAAUAUUGCACAAUGGGCGCAAGCCUGAUGCAGCCAUGCCGCGUGUAUGAAGAAGGCCUUCGGGUUGUAAAGUACUUUCAGCGGGGAGGAAGGGAGUAAAGUUAAUACCUUUGCUCAUUGACGUUACCCGCAGAAGAAGCACCGGCUAACUCCGUG
rnacentral:rRNA from 1 species